AGAGUUUGAUCCUGGCUCAGGAUGAACGCUAGCGGCAGGCUUAACACAUGCAAGUCGAGGGGCAGCGCGGGGUAGCAAUACCUUGGCGGCGACCGGCGGAAGGGUGCGUAACACGUGAGCGACUUGCCCGUCACAGGGAGAUAACCGGCGGAAACGGCGACUAAUAUCCCAUAUGAUCCGAUGUUGCAUGGCGUCGGGUUGAAAGAUUCAUCGGUGACGGAUAGGCUCGCGGGACAUUAGCUAGACGGCGGGGCAACGGCCCACCGUGGCGACGAUGUCUAGGGGUUCUGAGAGGAAGAUCCCCCACACUGGAACUGAGACACGGUCCAGACUCCUACGGGAGGCAGCAGUGAGGAAUAUUGGUCAAUGGGCGGAAGCCUGAACCAGCCAUGCCGCGUGAAGGAAUAAGGCCCUAUGGGUCGUAAACUUCUUUAGACGCAGAGCAAUAAGGGUCUCGUGAGGCCCGAUGAGAGUAUGCGUAGAAUAAGCAUCGGCUAACUCCGUGCCAGCAGCCGCGGUAAUACGGGGGAUGCGAGCGUUAUCCGGAUUUAUUGGGUUUAAAGGGUGCGUAGGCGGCAAGGUAAGUCAGCGGUGAAAGACCAGGGCUCAACUCUGGAAGUGCCGUUGAUACUGUCUGGCUAGAAUGAUUCCGCCGUGGGAGGAAUGAGUAGUGUAGCGGUGAAAUGCAUAGAUAUUACUCAGAACACCGAUUGCGAAGGCAUCUCACGAGGGGUUCAUUGACGCUGAGGCACGAAAGCGUGGGGAUCGAACAGGAUUAGAUACCCUGGUAGUCCACGCAGUAAACGAUGAUGGCUAACUGUCGGGCCUUAGGGUUCGGCGGCCAAGCGAAAGCGAUAAGCCAUCCACCUGGGGAGUACGACCGCAAGGUUGAAACUCAAAGGAAUUGACGGGGGCCCGCACAAGCGGAGGAACAUGUGGUUUAA
rnacentral:rRNA from 1 species